CCUACGGGCGGCUGCAGUGGGGAAUAUUGGACAAUGGGGGGAACCCUGAUCCAGCCAUGCCGCGUGUGUGAAGAAGGCCCUCGGGUUGUAAAGCACUUUCAGUGAGGAAGAACGCCUGGUGGUUAAUACCCAUCAGGAAAGACAUCACUCACAGAAGAAGCACCGGCUAACUCCGUGCCAGCAGCCGCGGUAAUACGGAGGGUGCGAGCGUUAAUCGGGAUUACUGGGCGUAAAGCGCGCGUAGGUGGCUUGAUAAGCCGGUUGUGAAAGCCCCGGGCUCAACCUGGGAACGGCAUCCGGAACUGUCAAGCUAGAGUGCAGGAGAGGAAGGUAGAAUUCCCGGUGUAGCGGUGAAAUGCGUAGAGAUCGGGAGGAAUACCAGUGGCGAAGGCGGCCUUCUGGACUGACACUGACACUGAGGUGCGAAAGCGUGGGUAGCAAACAGGAUUAGAUACCCCGGUAGUC
rnacentral:rRNA from 1 species